rnacentral:rRNA from 1 species
AUUGAACGCUGGCGGCAGGCCUAACACAUGCAAGUCGAGCGGUAGCACAAGAGAGCUUGCUCUCUGGGUGACGAGCGGCGGACGGGUGAGUAAUGUCUGGGAAACUGCCUGAUGGAGGGGGAUAACUACUGGAAACGGUAGCUAAUACCGCAUGACGUCUUCGGACCAAAGUGGGGGACCUUCGGGCCUCACGCCAUCAGAUGUGCCCAGAUGAGAUUAGCUAGUAGGUGGGGUAUGGCUCACCUAGGCGACGAUCUCUAGCUGGUCUGAGUGGAUGACCAGCCACACGGGAACUGAGACACGGUCCAGACUCCUACGGGAGGCAGCAGUGGGGAAUAUUGCACAAGGGGCGCAAGCCUGAUGCAGCCAUGCCGCGUGUAUGAAGAAGGCCUUCGGGUUGUAAAGUACUUUCAGCGAGGAGGAAGGCAUUAAGGUUAAUAACCUUGGUGAUUGACGUUACUCGCAGAAGAAGCACCGGCUAACUCCGUGCCAGCCGCCGCCGUAAUAC